CUCGCCUGCCGCCGCUGCCACCGCCUCUUACGUCGUUCCCUUUGACAAGUCGCCGCUGCUGCAGCAAAAAUAAAGGACGCGGCCGCCGCAGCCGCUGCCGAGCCGGCUUCGGGUCGCUGGAGCCGCGUCCUAACCCUGCUAGCUCCGGAGCAGCCUGUAUAGUUCUCCACUCUGUGGAUGUAUCCUAAUAUUUUCAACCAUUCUUCUAUAUAUGGGCAUUUAGGUUAGUUUCAUAUAUUUUGCAGUAUAAACAGUGUUGCAAUAUAAAUGAUCUGUGCAUAUGUAUUUUUGUAUUAUUAGACGUAUAUCUUCAAGAUAUAUUCCUGUAAGUGGGAUUGCUGGGUCAAAAGUUAAGUGCGGGCUGGCCUGGUGGUGCAGUGGUUAAGUUCUCAUGUUCCGCUUCGGCAGCCUGGGGUUCGCCGGUUCAGAUCCCGGGUGCGGACAUAGUAUGGCUUGGCAAGCCAUGCUGUGGUAGGCGUCCCACAUUUAAAGUAGAGGAAGAUGGGCAUAGAUGUUAGCUCAGGGCCAGUCUUCCUCAGCAAAAAGGAGGAUUGGCAGCAGAUGUUAGCUCAGGCCUAAUCUUUCUUAAAAAAAAAAAAAGUUAAGUGCAUGUGUAGUUGUGUUAGGUAUUACCAAGUUUCCCCCAAGAAGUGUUGUACUAAUUUGCAUUUCCACCAGUAAUGUAUGAGAGCACCUGUUUUCCCUACAGCCUCACCAACAGAAUGUGGUGGUGUGCUUUUUAAUUUUUUUUUUUUUUGCCAGAGAUGACUGAUUUUAAAAAAGGCUCUGUAGUCAUUUAGGUGACCAAACCUGUUGUGGAAGGGCACUUAAUGCCUAUGGUUGGCAGGUUCUUAUAGCUUGAAAAUGAAAUAGAUUGUCUACUAAUAUUGCACUGAUACAUGUAGGUUAUUAUGUGCAGGUGAAAUCAAUUGGAAUGCAAUUUCUGGUCUAGCCAGAGUUGCUCAUUUGAAACCUUUUGCAUUUAAUGGAGUUGCUGCAUUGAUUCAUAAUACUUGUGCUCUGAAAUACUUGUGUUUAACAGAGGGUAACUGAAAUUGUAAGGAGAAUAUUUUUUCCUGUAGAGUAUGUAUAAUAUAGUGUUAUUGGUUCACAUUGUAUGCUGGAUAUUCUGAACGGUACACACAAUACAUAUUGAAACCAUAGUAUGGUAGUUAUUUGACCAGUAAUGGCCGUAUCUGGAACCUGUUAUGUUUCUAUAAGAAAGAAGGCCAAUCUUAAGGAAGAUGAAAUCAAGAGUAAGUUCUGGAUUAGGAUAAUCCUAUCAGAUUUUAGUGGUGCCAAGCUAACUAAGACAACAUUGAAAAAGUCUCCAUUUUACUAGGUAACGGUCUGCCCAGUGAGGCUGGAAAUUUCGGUUCUUUCCCAGAAAGGGCACUGUUCCAGGUGCUUGGAACACAUUAAUGAAAAAACGAAGAUUCUUGUACCGGAGAAGCUUACUUUCUAGUGGUUUUCUGAUGAACUAAUGUCUCAGGAAAACAGAUGCUGAGUGCUGAUUGUGAAUGGAAGCAGUAGAGGUCUGGUGUGGUCUUAAGAUAAAAUCACCUUUGGUGCUAUAAAGCCCCCAAAUAACACUUGAUUUUACUGGUUACAAAGAGAAUGCCAUGAAAAGUCACAGGGUGGUUACUUAAGUUGUUCACCAAUCUCUGUCUCAUUUUAAAUGAUUCCUAGUAGUAGUAGUAGUGGUGGUGGUGGAAUAGUAAUAACAGAAUAAUAGUUUUUUUCUCAACUGGGGUUCCAAGAGAAAACUAAACCCCAAUGCUCUAGGACAUUUGGACAUUCAUUGUAUGUAAAGAAGUAACUUGUGUCCAGUGCAUCUAGAAUGACGUUAGUUAUCUAUCAUUCUUGGGAGAAUUGAGAAAAAUAUUCACUCCAAUUUUCACUUCAAGAUUUGUCGUUCAGAUGAACCUCAGUUGAGAAAGGUCAUGGUCAUUGUAGUCAGUUAGAUCUUUGUGUUUUUCCCCUAACUCUCCCACUUAUUAGCAGCAUGAUGUUGCACAAGUCUUAAUCUCUUAGCCUCAGUUUCCUGAUCUAUAAAGUGGGAAUAAUAAUAGUUGCUUCCUCGUAGGUCUGAUGUGAAGAUUAAACAAAAAAGUCUUUCCCAUCUACAUUUAUCCAUUUCUGUGGCUUUAAAAACUAUCUAUUUGCUGAUUGACAUCCACAUUUAUAUCUUCAGGCCAGACCUCUUCCCUGAGGUCCAGAGUCAUGGUUCAUCUGCUUAUUCCACAUCUCAAAUGGCUGUGUAAUAGGCAUCUCAAACUAAAUUUGCACAGCACGGAAGGUGUGAUUCCUUCCUCAUCGUUUCCUCUGAAUCUGCUCUUAGUAAAUGGCAGGAUCAUUUAACUAGUCACUCAGGCCGAAAGCCUAGGUGUCAUCUGUAAUUCUUCUCUUUUCUUUAUACCCUAUAACCAGGCCGUCACCAAAUCCUCUUGGCUCCAUCUUUUGAAUAUAUUUCUAAUCUGAUCACAUAUCGUCAUCUCUGCCUUAUUACUCUGGUCUAAACCACCAUCAUCUCCUGCUUAAAUAAUUACAAUACUUUCUUAACUGAUUUCCCUGCUUUCUCACUUGACCUCCUACAGUCUAUUCUUCACUUCAUAGCUAGAAUGAUCUUAUUAACGGUUAAUCAGGCCACUCCUCUAUUUAAUACUUUAAAAUUACUUCCUUUUUUCUAUUUAAUACUUUAAAAUUACUUCCUUUUACAAUUAAAAUAAUAGCCAAAUUCGCAGCCAUUGCCUACAAGGUCCUCUGUGAUGCAGUUAGUCCUUGCUUACCUCUUUCUGUUCAUUCCAAUUCUGCUAUACUGAACAUCCCUAUAUUCUUUGGUCGUGCCAUGUGCAUUCCAGGGCUCAAUGUUUGUUCUUGCUCUGCUGGGAGUGCUCUUCCUUCAGAUCUCUGCACUGCUUGCUCCCUCACACCGUUGAGGUGCCUGCUUAAAGAGGGGUUCUCAGAGUCUCUCUCUUUAGAAAGAUCUUCAGUGAUCACACUAUAGAAAAUAGCGAUCACCUCCCCCUCUUCUUUUUGUCUCUUUUGCUUUAUUUUUUAUAACACUUAUGCUUCCUGAAAUUUAAUGAGUUAUUUGUCUAUUUGUUUAUUUUUCUUCCUUACUGAAAGUAAACUUCAUGAGAGCAGGAAUCUUAUAUGUCUUGUUCAUUCCAGUGCCUAGAAAAGUCCCUGGCACAUAGUAAGUCAGGGAUGCAGCUCUAGGAAGUUGUCUUUGGAGUAAAAUUGUCUUUAAAUUAGAUUAAAUGAUUUUACUUUUUUUAAGGUUUUAAGCCAAAGGAGAACUAUUAAGCCAAAGGAGAACUAUUUAGAAAGUAUAAAUAGUUUCUUAACUUUUAAGAAACAACGCUGUGAAUUUUUUGCAUUGGGUGCUCACAUAUGAAGUGUUAAGAUUUAGGAUUUAUGACGUUAUCAAGAGCAUAUAGUUGUGCAUAGGAUGUGCUAAGUAAUAUGUAAAAGAUAAGCUUGGAGUUUAGCUCUUGUGCUUGUUGCAGUGUUUAACAUACUCUAUGGUUAUCCUCUAUUUAUAAUGGUAGUGAUGUUAAUAGUCAUAAUUUCUCUUGCUCUGGGAAGGUAUUUUUUUUUUCACUCUAAACUUGAUUUAAAGUCUCUAUUGAUUUUGAUUUUGGGGGGAAUACACUGUUGUCCAAGCUGUUUUAAAAUUUAAUAUAGUAGCAUUUAUAGAUGCCCUUUUAAUUUUUGCCUGUUUUAAGACCGUUCCUGUUAGUCACUGUACCAUAAAAUUGUCUGGAGAAUUUUACGUGAUAGAAUUCAAGUAAGUAGCUUUGCUAACUGAUAGUAUUAGAAAUAUAGGAUAAACUAAUCUAGAACUGGGAAGAUUAUAUUAUCUAUGUGUUAAUAUAAUUUAAAAGUGUGUGGGGGCCAGUAUCUUUAUUAUGUCAUCAUUGAUCUUUCUUAUAAAACCACGUAUUCAGUCACGUAUAAUGAAAUUUUGUCAAUAAUGUCACAGUUUCUGCUGUCUCAAAAUUGCUCAUUCUUUUGAAAGGAAGGAAUGAUGGGAAGAUUUAUGUGAUUUAGUGAAGGUGGUGUGAUGGAGUAGACAGCUGCACAUAGAAAGGAUAACGUUUAUUAAGCAUUUACCUUGCACCAGGCACUAUUCUAAGCACUUUGAUUUGUUAUUUAAACCACAUUCAAUCUGGUGGUUCUGUUAAUUAUUUAAACCACGUUUAACCCAUUUAUUUUGUAGAUAAGGCAAGUGAAGCACAGAGAGGUUAAAUAAUUUACCCAAGAUCACAGUAAGUGGUGGAGCCUGGAUUAGAAUUCAGAAACAAAGGAGGG
ensembl:lncRNA